UACAGCAGGUACUUGACGUUGGCGUUGGUACAGAUGAUGUGUGUCUGUGUGUAUAUACAGCAGGUACUUGAAGUUGGCGUUGGUACAGAUGAUGUGUGUCUGUGUGUGUAUACAGCAGGUACUUGAAGUUGGCGUUGGUACAGAUGAUGUGUGUCUGUGUGUGUAUACAGCAGGUACUUGAAGUUGGCGUUGGUACAGAUGAUGUGUGUCUGUGUGUGUAUACAGCAGGUACUUGAAGUUGGCGUUGGUACAGAUGAUGUGUGUCUGUGUGUGUAUACAGCAGGUACUUGACGUUGGUACAGAUGGUGUGUGUCUGUGUGUAUAUACAGCAGGUACUUGAAGUUGGUACAGAUGAUGUGUGUCUGUGUGUGUAUACAGCAGGUACUUGAAGUUGGCGUUGGUACAGAUGAUGUGUGUCUGUGUGUGUAUACAGCAGGUACUUGAAGUUGGCGUUGGUACAGAUGAUGUGUGUCUGUGUGUGUAUACAGCAGGUACUUGAUGUUGGUACAGAUGGUGUGUGUCUGUGUGUGUAUACAGCAGGUACUUGAUGUUGGUACAG